rnacentral:rRNA from 1 species
UACGUAGGCAGCGAGCGUUGUUCGGAGUUACUGGGCGUAAAGGGUGUGUAGGCGGUUCUCUAAGUUUGGUGGGAAAUCUCCCGGCUCAACUGGGAGGGUGCGACGAAAACUGGAGGGCUAGAGUACGGGAUGGGAGAGUAGAAUUUCUGGUGUAGCGGUGAAAAGCGUAGAUAUCAGGAGGAAUACCGGUGGUGUUAACGGCUCUCUGGACCGUAACUGAAGCUGAGACACGAAAGCGUGGGUAGCAAACAGG